rnacentral:rRNA from 1 species
GACGAACGCUGGCGGCGUGCUUAACACAUGCAAGUCGAACGGUAAGGCCCUUCGGGGUACACGAGUGGCGAACGGGUGGGUAACACGUGGGUGAUCUGCCCUGCACUUCGGGAUAAGCCUGGGAAACUGGGUCUAAUACCGGAUAGGACCACUGCCUGCAUGGGUGGUGGUGGCAAGCUUUUGCGGUGUGGGAUGGGCCCGCGGCCUAUCAGCUUGUUGGUGGGGUGAUGGCCUACCAAGGCGACGACGGGUAGCCGGCCUGAGAGGGUGACCGGCCACACUGGGACUGAGAUACGGCCCAGACUCCUACGGGAGGCAGCAGUGGGGAAUAUUGCACAAUGGGCGCAAGCCUGAUGCAGCGACGCCGCGUGAGGGAUGACGGCCUUCGGGUUGUAAACCUCUUUCAGCACCGACGAAGCGCAAGUGACGGUAGGUGCAGAAGAAGGACCGGCCAACUACGUGCCAGCCGCCGCAGUAA